rnacentral:rRNA from 1 species
GGUGUAGCAAUACAUGCUGACGAGAGGCGGACGGGUGAGGAACGCUUGGGAAUCUGCCUAUCAGCGGGGGACAACCCGGGGAAACUCGGGCUAAUACCGCAUACGCUCUACGGAGGAAAGCCGGGGACCGCAAGGCCUGGCACUGAUAGAUGAGCCCAAGUCGGAUUAGCUAGUUGGCGGGGUAACGGCCCACCAAGGCGACGAUCCGUAGCUGGUCUGAGAGGACGAUCAGCCACACCGGAACUGAGACACGGUCCGGACUCCUACGGGAGGCAGCAGUGGGGAAUAUUGGACAAUGGGCGAAAGCCUGAUCCAGCGACGCCGCGUGGGUGAAGAAGGCCUGCGGGUUGUAAAGCCCUUUCGGUAGGGACGAAAGCUCUCGACCUAACACGUCGGGAGGUUGACUUAACCUACAAAAGAAGCACCGGCUAACUCUGUGCCAGCAGCCGCGGUAAUACAGAGGGUGCGAGCGUUAAUCGGAAUUACUGGGCGUAAAGCGCACGUAGGCGGCUUGGUAUGUCGGUUGUGAAAUCCCCGGGCUCAACCUGGGAACUGCAUCCGAAACUGCCUUGCUAGAGUAUGGGAGAGGGAAGUGGAAUUUCCGGUGUAGCGGUGAAAUGCGUAGAUAUCGGAAGGAA